rnacentral:rRNA from 1 species
GACGAACCGUGCAAACGUUAUUCGGAAUCACUGGGCUUAAAGCGCGUGUAGGCGGGCGGGCACGUCCGACGCUGAAAGCCCCCGGCUCAACCGGGGAACGGGCGCGGCGACGACCCGCCUCGAGGGACGGAGGGGGACCUGGAACGUCCGGUGGAGCGGUGAAAUGCGUUGAGAUCGGACGGAACGCCCGUGGCGAAAGCGAGGUCCUGGACGUCUGCUGACGCUGAGACGCGAAAGCCAGGGGA